AUGAGGCGCUAUGGCGCGCAACCGUGCUCUCGGCGAUCAGGGGGGGCGCAGAUGCAGGGCUACCUCGACAUCGACCAGGUAGUGCCCCCUCUGAACGUUGAAGUCACCUCCGACGAUGGCAAGACCAAGUCGAAGGCACCCAACCCGGAGUUCUCCGCGUGGUACGCGAAGGAUCAGCAGGUGUUCUCCUACUUGCUGUCCUCCCUACCGCGCGAGAUGGCCAUCCAAGUGGCAACCUGCCACACCGCCGCCGAGCUCUGGAACACGGUGCAGGGGAUGCUGACCUCGCACACCCGCGCCCGCACCAUCAACGUCAGAAUUGCGCUGGCGAAUCUUCAGAAGGGCAACUCCAACAUCACUGAAUAUGUUGGUAAGAUUAGAACUUUAUGUGAUGAACUUGUUGCUUCAGGAAAGAAAGUAGAUGAGGAGGAUGUUGUGUCUCAUAUCCUUGCUGGACUCGAUGAGGAGUUCGACCCCGUGGUUUCUGCCAUGUGCUCUCGGGUCGAGCCGGUGACUGUCCCCGAGCUGUACUCGUAG
rnacentral:rRNA from 1 species